GACGGGGGGUCCAAGCGUUGUUCGGAAUCACUGGGCGUAAAGGGUGCGUAGGCGGGUCUUUAAGUCAGGGGUGAAAUCCUGGAGCUCAACUCCAGAACUGCCCUUGAUACUGAGGAUCUUGAGUUCGGGAGAGGUGAGUGGAACUGCGAGUGUAGAGGUGAAAUUCGUAGAUAUUCGCAAGAACACCAGUGGCGAAGGCGGCUCACUGGCCCGAUACUGACGCUGAGGCACGAAAGCGUGGGGAGCAAACAGG
rnacentral:rRNA from 1 species